GCACGUUGAGCCCCAUCCAUCGGGGCUGCAGUCAGACCCGCGUCAGGCAACGGGGACGCGGG
ncrna:unclassified sequences Glutamine-II riboswitch (downstream peptide RNA)